UUUAUUAUUUUAAAUGGUAAUACCAUCCGUGCAUACUAGUUAAUCUGUGUUUAGAAAAAAACAGUACAUAUUUCUGGGGGUGUUUUGUUCUGAUAAUUUUUCUAUUCCUUCAUUUACAAAUGCACACAUAAUUGUUAUAAAGUCUACUUUAAACCGUACAUAUAUUUAAAAGUCAAAAAAAAAAAAAAAUCUGCUUUGCUCUUCAACCCUCUUUUCUCUAGGCUAUCAAGAUGUUUAUAUGAUAUACUGGCAGCCCUGUGUCUCAGCUGAAAUUCAUUUACUAUCAAUUGAGCGUUAAAGGGACCAGCAAAGAUUCUUUUCUUUUGCUGAAGCUUUCAUACCAUUCCAGGAAGAAUGGGCAGUUUUGACUGGGCAGGAAAAACUGACAAUGACCAAGGGAGAACCACUGUAUUCAAUUUACAGAAUGGGUGCAGUUUGUAACUUGUAGGACAAAGUCAAUUUGAUAUUGUCUCAUCUGAUCCCUGUCCCUGCAUCUAAUUAAGGUGGUGUCAGUUUGAGGAGAUAAUUGUCAAAGGCUGCAAAUGCAGUAAAGGCUGCCUAACUUUAAUCACAUCCGGCAUGGGAAAUUGUGGCUUUUUGGAAAUGACAGUGUAAAGAGUAAUGACUUUUUGAAAAAAAUUAACUUUAAAUAGAAAGUUUCCUAAAUUUUAAAAUUUAUUCAACAUAAAAAUGUUCAUUCUGAUUCUUUUUCAGGAAUAUAAGGGAAUAAAAUUCUUUUCUAGGUAACAUUUAGCCUCAUUGUGGAGAGAAACAUAACUUUUGUUAAAAUAAUGUUUUAAAAUAAAAUGUGUUGAAAAUUACUAUUACCUUUAAAAGAUAUUAAAGUGGGACAAUUACAUAGCUAAAUUUUCUCCUGGUGUGAGAUAUGUGAUACAUAAUGAUCUUUUAUUAUCAAUGCUAAUUCCAAAAUACAUGAGCACUUACAGUAGUUUUUAUGUGAUUUAAGGAGUGAUAGUUACCUUUGUACAUACUUAAUAGAUAUGAAGUUAAAAUAUUAUA
rnacentral:lncRNA from 1 species